rnacentral:lncRNA from 1 species
GCUCCUCCUUGGUCCCCGCGCCAUGGCGCGUCCGCGUUGACCGCUGUCUUCCCUUUCGGGCUGUGCUGAUCGCGAACGCUGCGCAGUCCGUGGUGGCGUCGAGGCACCUUUCUCGUGCCUUUACCUGUGUUCACUCCUUUGCUUUAAAAAACAGCCCUAGAAGUACACAUCGUUGGCCCCGAAGGAGCCCCAGCAGCCAUGUCGGACCGCGAGGUGACCUUGGAGGGCGGGAGGACGGACGAGGGGCCUGGCGGAGCUAGACUGAGAGGGCGCCGCCGGCGUCCUGAAGGCCCUGCUCCCCGAAUGUGUGGGAGUGUGUCUGACGGUGCGAGGGUGGCUGUGGCGGGGCCUGAGCAGCGUGUCCGUGUCCCGAUGCCGCCCGCCUGUUACUGAGUUAGGCAGGAGUGCCCGAGUCUGGCGAACUUCAGCAGUUCUCGUUCCAGAGCUCCACACGAGGUUGGCCAAAGCUUUGCGGGACUUACAUACCCUUCUUCCUCCGCCCAGUCCUGCUUCCUUCCCCUUCCUUUCACGGGUGUUGAUACCAUGUCAACAUCCUCGUACCCCAAACUCAGUCGCAGCGUCUGCUUCUGGAGAAACCAUUCUGCAGCAUUAAAGCUGGUGAGAAGAUGGGAUUCGAGGCUGCAUCACUCACCAGUGGUGAAGUAGGAGGGUGAACUAGUGAAAUGGAAUCCACGAGUGGGUGAAGUAUCAGACAUUUCAUAUAUGGUGAACGUAGUAGAUAAAAGGAAGGAAAGGGGGAUUGGAUAGCUAUUGCUUAGUGCCAACCGAGACUCUUAAGAAUAGUGGUCAGCUGAAGGCAAGCAACAAACAGUUGUAAGCCAGUGAAUCUGUCCCGUUACAUAUAGAGAAGCUUCAUUUACUGCAGCAGGUCAAAGACAAGAACCAGGCCCAGGAAUUAACAUCCCUGUUUGACUGAACUCCAAAAAUAGCAAAACACCCAAACAAGGCAAUACUCUUCCACUAAGUUUGGAUCCCUGCUAAGAAAAGAUGAGGCUGGGCACAGUGGCUCACACCUGUAAUCCCAGCACUUUGGGAGGCCAAGGCGGGAAGAUUGCUUGAGUUCAGGAGUUCAAGACCAGCUUGGGCAACAUGACAAAACCCCAUCUCUACUGAAAACACAAAAAAUUAGCCGGGCAUGGUGGCCACGGCUGUGGUCCCAGCUGCUUGGGAGGCUAAGGUGGGUGGAUCACCUGAGCCCUGGAAGUCAGGGCUGGAGUGCAGUUGCUGGAUCAUGGCCCACUGUAGCCUCAACUUCCUGGGCUCAAACGAUCCUCCCACCUGAGCCUCCUAAGUAACUGGGACUACAGGUAUGUGUCACCACACCUGGAUACAUUUUUUAUUACUUGUAGAGGCAAGGUCUUGCUAUGUUGCCCGGGCUUGUCUCAAACUUCUAGGCUCCAGUGAGCCAUCACACCUGGCCUGCCUUGAACCUGAAGCCUGCCGGGGUGGCUCACCUCUCCUAUUAACCUGACACUACUCCUCCUCCCUCCACUUACUGCUCAGUAGAUGUAUAAUUAUGGUUGUUUCUUUUGCAUUAUUCAGCUGGAAACAAUGAGAUAGAAAAGAGAAUAUAGCUCCCUCCCCCUCAGAAGAACUGCGUUAUUAGUUUGCUGGGGCUUCAGUAACAAACUGGGCAGACAUUUAUUGUCUCCCAGUUCUGGAGGCUAGAAGUCUGAGAUCAAAGUUUUCACAGGGUUGGUUCCUUCUGGGGCUGGGAGGGAGAAUCUGUCUCAUGCCUCUCUCCCAGCUUCUGGUGGUUUGCUGGCAGUCUUUGGUUCCUUGGCUUAUAGAGGCAUUGUCCCAGUCCUGCCUUUAUAUUCACAUGGUGAUCUUGUUGUGUGUGUCUCUCCAGACGAAGGCAUAAGUAACAUCAUUGACAAAGGUCAUUCGACAUGGGCCUCUUUUUAGAAGGACACCAGUCAUACUGAUUAGGGCCCACUCUAAUGAGCGCAUCUUAACUUGUCUACAAAGACCCAUUUCCAAAUAAUGUCACAUUCACAUUGACCAGGGGUUAGGGCUUCAGCAUCUUUUGAGAGGGACACACUUCAGCCCAUAACAAGCUGUACCACCCAGCCAACAUGUACUGACAGGAGCUGGGAAAGUUUGGGGCUGGAUUAUGAGGGUGCUUGAUGAAGGGAGCUGGAAUGUAAACUUGCAUAGAUGUGUUUAUUGAAAUACGUGAUUUAACACCUUGGCAAAGAGUGGCUGCAGACUUCCUGCAAGGAUGGCUCCUAGAAUGGCGGUAUAGCUACUGCUGCCUAACAAAUUACUCCACACUUCGUGGCUUAAAACAAGAAUCAUUUCUUAUCUCUAGGUUACUGUGGGUCAGACAUAGUGGGGAUCGGUGAUCUCUCUAGGUUACUGUGGGUCAGACAUAGUGGGGAUUGGUUAUCUCUCUUCCACAGUGUCUGAGGCCUCAGCUGGAGCAGUUCAGAGGCUAGAGGUUGGAAUGAGUGAAGGUUCAUCUGCUCGAAUGUCUGACAGCUGAUACUGGAGAUUGGCUGCAGCCCAGAUUGGGGAUGUCAGCCAGCACACCCCUACACGGCCGGUCCCUGUGGCCGAGGCUUUCUCACAAUAUGAUGGCUGGAUUCCAAGGGCAAUCUAAAGACAAAGGACAAAAGAAAGCUCCAGAUGAGAAGUGCAGAAGAUCCUGGAGACAGCUGCUCCAGAGAGUGGCAUAUAAACCCUACAGGAAUCCAGGAGCCUGCUACAAUCCUAACAUUUUUAGGGCUCCAGUGGUCAGGGGUGCUCUAGGGCAUCCCUUCCAAAAGCGAAUGAAUUAUUGCUGCUUGCACCUCCUGCCGUUAAGAAAGCAAGACGCUUGUUGGUUCUCGAGCUAGUUCUUGCCUCAGGUUCUGGAGGCAGCAUGUCCCACACCUGGGAGUAUUGCUCUGGUCCAGAGACUAGUGGAAUUGGGAGAUUUCCAAUUUUGGAAAGAGCCCAGAACUGGAAACGUCUGUACAGUAGAUCCGGGUUGUGAUGAAGUAAUGCUAUUGCCUGGGCCAUAUAGUCCAACAGGUGUUUUUUUGGUGUUAUUAAUGGUGCAGAAUGAUGCAAUGUAGAGAUUCUGUCAUGCCACCUGGAGCAGAGAAUUGUAUGCAUUUGGGGGGCGGGCGGGUGUAGAUCUGUCUUCUGGUAUGCCACUUGUCUCUGACAGAGAUGGAACGCCUGACCGUAAGCCACCAGGUGACCAUGCAACCAGAACUGCCUGUUAAUGUUAAACUAGCAAAAGUCAUAACAUCAGUUGGGGCCAGCAACGGUCCCUCAUAAUAUGGAAGUAGUAUAUUCAAGGUUGAGCAUGAGAAUGUACAGAGGUUACCAAAUGAGCUGCAGAGCACAGAUGCACAUGACUUCCAGAACUGUUGGAUCAGCCACAAUGUCAUUUCACACCUGUGACAGUGUGAGGGGGCCCUUAUAGCCAGUUGACAGGAGUAAAAAUCGUGAGCAUGGUGUAUAAAUGGGUUGGCUCAGUAUGAGUUCAAAAUGAAAAUAGCAGCUACAUUACAGCCUUCUCAGGGGUGACCUUGAAAAAUGGUGAUAAGGGCAUAUCCUCUCAAUAGGCAGAAUUUCAGGCAGAGCUCCUGGUCGUCCACUUUUUUGUGGAAGAAGUAGCCCAAGGUGAGAAUAUACAUGGAGCCAUGGGCAAUGCUAGAGGGCCUGGGUAACUGGUUAAGGGCCUGGAAGGAAAACAAUCGGAAGUUGGAGAUAAGGAGGUGUGUGGUAGAUUUAUGUGGUCAGAUAAAUUGGAAUAGCACGAAGUACAAUGUUCUUUGUAUACAAUGUUAAUGCCCACCAGAGAGCAUCCAUGAAAGAAGCAUUAUACAACCAAGUAGACAGUUGACUCAGCCAGUUGAUAUUGGACAGCAUCUUUUAUUGGCUACUGUACUACUGGCAUGAUGGGCACAUGGACAAGGUAGCCAAGGUGAUGGACGCUGUUCAUGGGCCUGACAGCAACCCAUGCUCUCUACCCAGCUUUGGUUAAUAUCUAGCUGCCCCUGAAUAUCUAACCUGCCAGCAAAAGAGAUCUACCCGGCUUUGGUUAAUAUCUAGCUGCCCCUAAAUAUCUAACCUGCCAGCAAAAGAGACCAGUGCUAUACUCCCAUUGUGGGUCACUUCAUCAAGGAGCACAAACAUCCAGGUUUACAGAGGUCUUUAGACAUAGUCCCCAUUUUAUAAGGAGAGUUUACUGUAUUGGAACUCUCCCAUCCUGGAAGGGCUGGUGGUUCACUUUUCACAAGAAUAGUCUCAUAUUCCAGAUACGAGGCUUGUCUUUUCCUACUCACAAGUGUCAGCCAGAAAGGCUUAAGGAGUGUUUGUUUCACUGACAUAAGCACACAACAUUUCAAACGAGAUUCACUUUAUAGCCAAGGAAGUGUAGUGUCCAUGGGCCCUCCUGCCUGGCAGAGCGCUGAGACAGCAUGCUAAAGGCACAGCCUCCCAAAGGCAUGAGCCACUGAGCCCGGCACUGAAGACUUCCUUGAAACCGUUCUUUGCAAUCUUUCUGUUAUUGACCAGCUGGACAGUGCGUAACUGCAUGGGAAUGCUUGCAGAUCAGUAAAUUCAGACACCUUCCUUUCCACAUAAGAUGGACCACCAGCUGUACCCUCCCAAGUUUUGCCAGCUGGAAAUCUUCAAAAAUCCAACCCUAAACUAGGUUGUAGUGUAGCAACCAUCUUUUUGUUUGUUUUUUGAGACGGAGUCUCACUCGGUCUUCCAGGCUGGAGUGCAGUGGCGCGAUCUCAGCUCACUGCAACCUCUGCCUCCCGGGUUCAAGCGAUUCCCCUGCCUCCGCCUCCCGAGUAGCUGGGACUACAGGCACACGCCACCAUGCCCGGCUAAUUUUGUGUCUUUUAGUAGAGAUGGGAUUUCACCACGGUGGUCAGGAUAGUCUCAAUCUCCUGACCUCAUGAUCCGCCUGCCUUAGCCUCCCAAAGUGCUGGGAUUUCAGGUGUGAGUCACUAGUGUAGCAACUAUUUAUGGUUCAUGCCACCAUACCGUAUGGAUCCGUUGGUAGAACAAACCUGUAUUUUUUCGUCUUCUGUCAACUGGUCCUAGGGAGCGUCCCGUGAAACCACAGAUGUAGACUGAGGGGUGUGAAGUAGAAGAGGCGGCAGCAUGUGUUUGGUCACUCACUUGGGUCACAUACUUAUGCCUUCUGAAUCUGUUCAGGCAUAGUUUUGUGUAUAUUAUUUCCAGUUUCAGUGGAAUGCUGUUUAUGUCCAGUUUAAUGAUUUGUGUAUAGGCUGUCCUCCUAUGGUAUGCCUCAUGCUUCUGUGGGCUGUAUUGGGAUCAGAGUCUUGGGGGUCUGCAAGCAAGGUGGUAUUGUUGGGUUUUGAGAAUCAGCAUCUCUCUGUGAGGCACUGUAUUUGUUCUCACACUGCUAUAAAGAAAUGCCUGAGGCCAGGUGUGGUGGCUGAGGCCUGUAAUCCCAGCACUUUGGGAGGCCAAAGCCGGUGGAUCACCUGAGGUCAGGAGUUCGAGACCAGCCUGACCAAUAUGGUGAAACUCUGUCUCUACUAAAAGUACAAAAAUUAGUCGGGCCUGGUGGCGUGCACCUGUAGUCUCAGCUACUCAGGAGGCUGAGACAGGAUAAUUGCUUGAACCCGGGAGGCGGAGGUUGCAGUGAGCCAAGAUUGUGCCAUUUAAGCCUGGGUGACAGAGCAAGUCUCCAUCUAAAAAAAAAAAAUGCCUGAGACUGGAUAAUUUAUAAAGAAAAGAGGUAUAUUUGGCUCACGGUUCUGCAGGCUGUACAGUAAGCAUAGUGGCUUUUCCUUUGGGGAGGCCUCAGGAAGCUUCCAAUCAUGGCAGAAGACAAAGGGGGAGCAAGGCACUUCACAUGGCUGUAUUAGGAGGCAGAGAGAGGAUGGAGGUGCCACACACUUGAACAACCAGAUCUCGUGAGAACUCAUUCACUGUCUGAGGACAGCACCCAGGUGUUAAACCAUUCACGAGGAACUGUCCCCAUGAUCCAGUAACCUCCCACCAGGUCCCACCUCCAACAUUAGGGAUUAGAAUUCAGCAUGAGAUUGGGCAGACACACAGAUCCAAACCAUAUCAGGCAUCCAUCCCAGGUGCAGUCAUUAAAAGUUUUCUAUUCAGGCUUUUGAGGUGAUUGUGGUGGGGCCCCUUCAAGGUGGGGGCUGGACACCAGAGGACCCAACCACAUGAUUGGAGGAUUAGGAUUUUCAGCCCCACCCUCAAACCUCUGGAGAGGGGAGGGGGUUGGAGUUUAAGUUCAAUCAUGUGAUCAAUAAUCCAAUCCAUCAUGACUAUGUAAUGAGGCCUUGAUAAAAACUCUUAGCCAAUGAGGCUUACAGAGGUUCUGGGUUGUGCUGUGUUGCGGGAAGUCAGGGACCCCAAACCGAGGGACCGGCUGGAGCCGCGGCAGAGGGACAUAAAUUGUGAAGAUUUCAUGGACGUUUAUCACUUCCUAGUAAUACUCUUAUAAUUUCUUAUGCCUGUCUAAUCUCAAUCCUGUUAUCUUCGUAAGCUGAGGAUGUAUGUCACCUCAGGUCCACUGUGAUGAUUGCAUUAACUGUACAAAUCGAUUGUAAAACGUGCAUUUGACGAGGCCAGGAGAUCAAGACCAUCCUGGCUAACACAGUGAAAACCCGUCUCUACUAAAAAUACAAAAAAUCAGCCGGGUGUGGUGGCAGGCACCUGUAGUCCCAGCUACUCGGGAGGCUGAGGAAGGAGAAUGGCAUGAACCUGGGAGAUGGAGCUUGCAGUGAGCUGAGAUGGCGCCACUGCACUCCAGCCUGGGCGACAGAGUGAGACUCCAUCUCAAAAAACAAACAAACCAAAAAAAAAAAAAAACGUGUGUUUGAACAAUAAUGAAAUCAGUGCACCUUGAAAAUGAACAGAACAGCGAUUUUAGGGAACAAGGGAAGACAACCAUAAGGUCUGACUGCCUGUGGGUUCGGGCAAAAAGAGCCAUAUUUUUCUUCUUGCAGAGAGCCUAUAAACGGACGUGCAAGUAGGAGAGAUAUCGCUAAAUUCUUUUCCUAACAAGGAAUAUUAAGACCCUAGGAAAAUAAUUGCAUUCCUUGGGGGAGGUCUAUAAAUGCUUGCUCUGGGAGUGUCUGUCUUACGCAGUUGAGAUAAAGACUGAAAUACGCCCUGGUCUCCUGCAGUACCCUCAGGAUUGUUAGGGUGGGGGAAAAAACCACUCCCUGGUAAAUCUGAGGUCAGACUGGUUCUCUGCUCUUGAACCCUGUUUUCUGUUGUUUAAGAUGUUUAUCAAGACAAUACAUGCACAGCUGAACAUAGACCCUUACCAGGAGUUUUUGAUUUUGCCCUUUGCCUUGUGAUCUUUAUUGGCCUCAGAAGCACGUAAUCUUUGUUCUCCCUUUUGCCCUUUGAAGCAUGUGAUCUUUGUGACCUACUCCCUGUUCGUACACCCCCUCCCCUUUUGAAGUCCUUAAUAAAAACCUGCUGGUUGUGCGGCUCAGGUGGGCAUCACGGUCCUACCACUAUGUGAUGUCACCCCUGGCAGCCCAGCUCUAAACUUCCUCUUUGUACUCUAUUUCUCAGACUGGCCGACACUUAGGGAAAAUAGAAAGAACCUACGUUGAAAUAUUGGGGAUGGGUUCCCCCGAUAGUGCUGGGAGGGCAGCACGCCUGCAGUGGACACAGAAGCUCUGAGCCCCAUACCUGUCCUGCUCACCUCUUCCAUUUGGCUGUUCCUUUGUUGUACCCUGUAUAAUAAACUGGUAAUCCCAAGAAUAGUACUUUGCAUCAUUCUAGUAAAUUAUUAAACCUACAGGGGUGGGGCUGAAAACCCCACAAACUUAUAAAUUGGCUGGGCAGAAUUGCGGGUAGCCUGGAAACACCACUUGUGGCUGACGUCUGACGUGGAGACUGAGUCCUUAGCUUUUAGGGUCUGUGCUGACUCCAGGUAGUACCAGAAUUGAAGGACUUUAGGCCAGGCACUGUGGUUCACGCCUGUAAUCCCAGCACUUUGGGAGGCCAAGAUAGGAUCACUUGAGCCCAGGAAUUCGAGACCAGCCUGGGCAACAGGGAGACCCCCCAUCUCUACAAAAAUAAAUUAAUUAAAAAUGGAAGGACUUUGUCCUUAACUUGUGGGAACUGUGUCCAUUCUGACUCUAGGUAGUGUCAGAAUGGAACUGUAGGACAGGCAGCUCGUGUUAGAAAAGGAGACAAGCCUCCAGCAGGUCAGGGAGGCGGCAGCAGGCAGCAUGAACGGUAGCCCAGGCUCCCAUGCAGUUCUCCAGCUCUGCUGUCCCCCUGCAUCUAUCCAUUCCUAUUCUGCAUAUGAAUUUGCUUUUCCCGCCCAACACUCAUUUGCAGACUUCCCAAAUUCCUAAUUCAUCAUCGCUUCUAACCAGAAAACUCUUCUGAGAGCAAGUGUGGCUCUAAGCAUGUGGUUGUACGAUGCCCUCAUCUUACCCCAAACUCCUAUCAGUCAGAAGUAGCUUGCUUAGUGGAUGGUGGAAAGGCCUCCCGAAGGCUCAGUUAUGAUGCCAGAUUGGAGACAAUGCCCUGUCAAUAUGGAUGUUAUAAUACAGGAUGUGGUAUAGGCUUUAACUGAACAAUACCUAGUGCUACUUCUCCCACAGCCAGCAUAUGCUGGCUUGGAAACCUAAGGGCUGCAGAUAGGAAUGGCCCCUCUUACUGUUAUGCCAAGUAACCCCAGAAGGAAUUUUUGCUUCUCAUCUUGUAACUCUGAACUCCACUGUCCCAAGGGAGGACUGCUUCUACCAGGUACGACAAUGGUGGUAUUUUGAACUUUGAACUAGCAGUUGAGACUGCUGCCUGAGCCAACACCCAGGGAUGGAGUUACUGCACUAACUGGUGCUAUUGAUCCCAAUUUUUGAGGGAAACUGGGUGGCUCAUACACAAUGAAAACAGGAACAUCCUUAUCUGCAAUCUAGUGUCUUCACUGGCACCUUUUGGUACCGAGGACUUUCGGCUCAGUGCAGCCUCCGCCUCCUGGGUUCAAGUGAUCCUCCUGCCUCAGCCUCCCGAGUAGCUGGGAUUACAGGGGCCUGCCACCACACCCGGCUAAUUUUUGUAUUUUUAGUAGAGACCGGGUUUUGCCAUGUUGGUUAGGCUGGUCUCAAACUCCUGACCUUGUGAUCUGGCCACCUCGACCUCCCAAAGUGCUGGGAUUACAGGUGUGAGCCACCACACCCGGCUGACAGCUUCUUGGCUUCAAGCUAGAACAGGCUCCUCACAUUCAUGUCCCAUUGUCUUUGAUGAAACGAGGGCAGUUAACUGUAGAAUAGCCCAUGUUCAUCUUUUUCCUCAUGGUUUCAUUUAUUUUUCCUUCAAUAAACUAUAAGUUAGGGCUGGACACAGUGUCUUGAGCCUGUAUUCCCAGCACUUUGGGAGGCCAAGGCAGGAGGAUCACUUGAAGCUAGGGGUUCAAGACCAGUGUGGGCAACAGAGUGAAACUCCAUCUCUACUUAAAAAAAAAAAAAAACAAAAAACAACUAGCUCAAUGUGGCAGUGCGUGCCUGUACUCCCAGCUACUCGGGAGGCAGAGACAGUAGGAUUGCUUGAGCCAGGAGCUUGAAACCAGGCCGGGAAACAAAGUGAAACCUUGUCUCUAAAAGAAAUACGAAAAUUAGUGCCAGGCGUGGUGGUGCGCACCUGUAGUCCCAACUACUCGGGAGGCUAAGCAGGCGGAUCAUUUGGGCUUGGUAGGUCAAGGCUGCAGUGAGUUGUGAUUGUGCCACUGUACUCCAGCCUGGGUGACAGAGCGAGACCUUGUCUCUAAAAAUAAAAAAAUUAUACCCAUCUAGUACAUUUUUGGAUAAAGGGUCCUUGGCUAGGUAUUACUGUCUAGUCUAAGCGAGUAUGAGUGAAACAUAAAAAAGCACAGCCAGCCGGGCGUGGUGGCUCACACCUGUAAUCCCAACACUUUGGGAGGCCGAGGAGGAUGGAUCAUUUGAGGUCAGGAAUUCAAACCAGCCUGGCCAACAUGGUGAAACUCUGUCUCUACUAAAAAUACAAAAAUUAGCUGGGCCUGGUGGUGGGCGCCUGUAAUCCCAGCUACUCAGGAGGCUGAGGCAGGAGAGUUGCUUGAGCCCAGGAGGCGGCGGUUGCAGUGAGCCGAGAUUGCACCAUUGCACUCCAGCCUGGGUGACAGAGGGAGACUCCCAUCUCAAAAACAAAAAGCAUGGCCAUGAGAGGUGGAUACAUAGUGGCAGCAUCUUUAAAAAAAUAAGAAACCAAGUAAGAGUAAACAACAGUCAAGUGGCUAUUCAAGAAUGCUCCGGGUUCCACUGAAAAUUUUUGACUUACGAGUUUAACAUAAACUCUCUGCUCAAUUUUUUAGUCAGUGAGAAAGGCAAACUGAUAAAAUGGAUAAAAUGGAAAAAAAAAACAACACAAGGGCUAUUCACAAACAAAACAGUGAUUAAAUUUUAUUCCUUUUUGAGUUGUUUUGUUUUUAUUUUUAAAUG